rnacentral:tRNA from 1 species
ACUUUAAUAAUUUAAUACAAAAUAUUGGUCUUGUAAACCAAAAAUAAGAGGAAUCUUUUAAAGUA